rnacentral:rRNA from 1 species
CGCGUAGUUAGCCGUGGCUUUCUGAUUAGGUACCGUCAAGACGUGCACAGUUACUUACACAUUUGUUCUUCCCUAAUAACAGAGUUUUACGAUCCGAAGACCUUCAUCACUCACGCGGCGUUGCUCCGUCAGGCUUUCGCCCAUUGCGGAAGAUUCCCUACUGCUGCCUCCCGUAGGAGUCUGGACCGUGUCUCAGUUCCAGUGUGGCCGAUCACCCUCUCAGGUCGGCUACGUAUCGUUGCCUUGGUAAGCCAUUACCCCACCAACUAGCUAAUACGGCGCGGGUCCAUCUAUAAGUGAUAGCAAAACCAUCUUUCACUUUAGAACCAUGCGGUUCUAAAUAUUAUCCGGCAUUAGCCCCGGUUUCCCGGAGUUAUUCCAGCCUUAUAGGUAGGUUACCCACGUGUUACUCACCCGUCCGCCGCUAACGUCAAAGGAGCAAGCUCCUUAUCUGUUCGCUCGACUUGCAUGUAUUAGGCACGCCGCCAGCGUUCAUCCUGAGCCAGGAUCAAACUCU